AGAGACCGCUCAGUGGUUGAGAGCACUUGUUGCUCUUGCAGAGGACUUAAUUACCAGUAAUACUGUAACUCCGGUUUCAGGGGAUUCAGUGUUCUCUUCUGAAAAAUGGUCAUACAUGCAGAAUACAUAUAUUUUUUUAAUUUGUGCACAAAUAACAGUGUGUUCCCCAGGCGUGAAUUCCAGGUCCCUCCCCUUUCUCUUGGCUUCUGUUCUAGAAGAGGGGCUUGCCUGGUUUCUGGUGUCUUAUCCAUACAGAGCAGAUCACAGCUGCUUGGCAGGCAUUGACCAUACCUGUGUGGAGAAGUACCUGCCCUAUUCUGUUGUAGACUGUCCUUUGAAGAAGAUCCCUUAACCAACCCAGUGCUUGCUCAUGCGAGGUAGAAGCCUUCUGCACUCACUUUCAUGGCUGUGAAAAAAAAAAAAGAAAAGAAAAGAAAAGAAAAAA
rnacentral:lncRNA from 1 species